AGAGUUUGAUCAUGGCUCAGAACGAACGCUGGCGGCAGGCUUAACACAUGCAAGUCGAACGCACCGCAAGGUGAGUGGCAGACGGGUGAGUAACGCGUGGGAACCUACCUAUCGGUUCGGAACAACUCGGGGAAACUCGAGCUAAUACCGGAUACGCCCUUCGGGGGAAAGAUUUAUUGCCGAUGGAUGGGCCCGCGUUGGAUUAGCUAGUUGGUGAGGUAACGGCUCACCAAGGCUACGAUCCAUAGCUGGUCUAAGAGGAUGAUCAGCCACACUGGGACUGAGACACGGCCCAGACUCCUACGGGAGGCAGCAGUGGGGAAUAUUGGACAAUGGGGGAAACCCUGAUCCAGCCAUGCCGCGUGAGUGAUGAAGGCCUUAGGGUUGUAAAGCUCUUUCGCCUGGGAAGAUAAUGACGGUACCAGGUAAAGAAGCCCCGGCUAACUUCGUGCCAGCAGCCGCGGUAAUAC
rnacentral:rRNA from 1 species